UACGUAGGGGGCAAGCGUUGUCCGGAAUCAUUGGGCGUAAAGAGCGUGUAGGCGGCCCGGUAAGUCCGCUGUGAAAGUCCAGGGCUCAACCCUGGGAUGCCGGUGGAUACUGUCGGGCUCGAGUCCGGAAGAGGAGUGUGGAAUUCCUGGUGUAGCGGUGAAAUGCGCAGAUAUCAGGAGGAACACCCGUAGCGAAGGCGGCACUCUGGGCCGAUACUGACACUGAGGAGCGAAAGCGUGGGGAGCGAACAGG
rnacentral:rRNA from 1 species